rnacentral:rRNA from 1 species
AGUGAACGCUGGCGGUAGGCCUAACACAUGCAAGUCGAACGGCAGCACAGUAAGAGCUUGCUCUUACGGGUGGCGAGUGGCGGACGGGUGAGGAAUACAUCGGAAUCUACUUUUUCGUGGGGGAUAACGUAGGGAAACUUACGCUAAUACCGCAUACGACCUACGGGUGAAAGCAGGGGAUCUUCGGACCUUGCGCGAUUGAAUGAGCCGAUGUCGGAUUAGCUAGUUGGCGGGGUAAAGGCCCACCAAGGCGACGAUCCGUAGCUGGUCUGAGAGGAUGAUCAGCCACACUGGAACUGAGACACGGUCCAGACUCCUACGGGAGGCAGCAGUGGGGAAUAUUGGACAAUGGGCGCAAGCCUGAUCCAGCCAUGCCGCGUGGGUGAAGAAGGCCUUCGGGUUGUAAAGCCCUUUUGUUGGGAAAGAAAAGCAGCAGGUUAAUACCCCGCUGUUCUGACGGUACCCAAAGAAUAAACACCGGCUAACUUCGU